CAAAUAUCAGUGGGUCCAGCAGCACUCAGAAUGAAGGUCUUGGGGUACUGCCAAGAAGAUAAAGUGAUGUAAAGUGAUGACAGCUUUCCUUGGCUGUGAAUGUUGACACACUGCGUGUAGGAGGAGAAGAGGAUGUGCAGAAGGAACUCUGUGCAUCACACUAGUUGAUGGUGUAGCAGCCAGAAUCAGCGUGAACAGCAGCUGCAGCUCUGCAUGGAGCCAAUUCAGGCACAGGAUAUGGUGGAAAGCACUGCCAACUGUGCCUGUAGUGUCCGCUAGCAAAGCACAAGGAUGGGCAAGUUUGCCAGGACUGAAUAAAAGAAAACCUAAGAGCAGCUGGUGGUGUGGGCAUCUUCUUCUGGUACCUGAUGAACACUUCAAAGCUGGCUCUGGGCAAAGCCA
rnacentral:lncRNA from 1 species